GGGGGACUCGGGGGGCUGGGGGGGCUCGGGGGGCUGUACGGGGGCCUGCAUGGUCUAGGUCUGGGCUGGUGAGGCGGCGAGGCGGCGCUCAUACUGGGAGACGAAAUGAUGGUAAGAAAGCAUCUCAGGAAAUAGACUAGAAAUUCACACGAAUCAACUAUGAGCAAGAGGAGAAGAGUACACCAGAAAAAUAUGGAAAAAAAACAUAACAUUAGACGAUUGAGAAGAAGUUAACAAUCAUACUUUCUUUUUAUGUUCACAUUCGAAUGAUUGUAUUUUUUUUAUUUCAUGGUUUGAAAAAUGCAAUAAUACAACUGUGGGAUUUUUUUUACAAGACAAAUAUGUUUUCUAAGUAAAUGAUUGUAAAAAACAUCAUACAUUGUUAUUCUGUUUUCAUUCGAAUGAUUGUAUUUUUAACUUCACGGUUUCAACGAUGCAAUAAAAUAAAUAUGCGUGAUUUUUUCAUGACAUAUAUUUUUUUAAGUAAAUAAUUAGAUGGUUGGAAGCAAAUUAACAAUCAUGCGCUGAUAUUUUGUUCUUCGAAUGUUUGUAUUUCUGACUUCACUGUUUUAGCGAUGCGAUAAAACAAGUAUGUGUGAUUUUUCUAAAUAAAUAAUUAGGUGGCUUAGAAUAAAUAAAAAAUCUUACUUUGUUGUUAUGUUCUCACUCGAAUGUUUGUAUAUUUCACUUCACGGUUUAAACGAUGCAAUCAAAUAUGUGUGUUUUUUACAAGACAAAUAUAUUUUCUAAGUAAA